rnacentral:rRNA from 1 species
UAAUACCGUAUGACGUCGUUUGCCGACAUCGAAAAGACGACCAAAGGUUUGGCGGUGAUGGAUGGGGAUGCGUCUGAUUAGGCUUGUUGGCGGGUAACGGCCCACCAAGGCGACGAUCAGUAGGGGUUCUGAGAGGAAGGUCCCCCACAUUGGAACUGAGACACGGUCCAAACUCCUACGGGAGGCAGCAGUGAGGAAUAUUGGUCAAUGGGCGAGAGCCUGAACCAGCCAAGUAGCGUGCAGGAUGACGGCCCUAUGGGUUGUAAACUGCUUUUACGCGGGGAUAAAGUGCGUGACGUGUCUCGCAUUGCGGGUACCGCGUGAAUAAGGACCGGCUAAUUCCCGUGCCAGCAGCCGCGGUAAAU